rnacentral:lncRNA from 1 species
ACAUCAUUUAUAAUGCCUAGAUAGGUAGAUUAUUUAUGCUUCAUCUCUUGUCAUGCUAAAAAACAUUUAAUAUUGUCGUGUAAAUAAACGGGAGUGAAUUAAAUGAUUCAAGUAUGGAGAUUCGUCAAUAUGGAACUCGUUGCGUAUUGAGCCUCAUUUAAUGUGUAGUAAUAAAUUGUUGUGCUUUGUCGUGUCGUGCAUAAUUAAAUGGACAUGCAUCAUAAUUUCUUGCACAUCAUGUCAUGCAUAUGUGUGGUGUUAUCA